rnacentral:rRNA from 1 species
AUGAUCAUCAAACUAGACUUUAAGAAAGCCUUCGACUCCAUUUCUUGGACAUCCCUGGACAAAAUAUUAGCAAUCAGAGGUUUCUCCGACAAAUUCAGGUCCUGGAUACAAAACAUCCUAACCACUGGUAAAACCGCGAUACUUCUCAAUGGCCUCCCAGGC